rnacentral:rRNA from 1 species
UACGUAGGUGGCAAGCGUUGUUCGGAAUUAUUGGGCGUAAAGGGCGCGUAGGCGGCUUGUUAAGUCAGCUGUGAAAGCCCGGGGCUCAACCCCGGAGGGUCAGCUGAUACUGGCUAGCUAGAGUACGGAAGAGGUAGCUGGAAUUCCCGGUGUAGCGGUGAAAUGCGUAGAUAUCGGGAAGAACACCCGUGGCGAAGGCGGCUCUCUGGGACGGUACUGACGCUGAGACGCGAAAGCGUGGGGAGCGAACAGG